CACGUAGGCGGCCUGUUAAGUGUGGAGUGAAAUCUCACGGCUCACCCGUGGAACUGCUUCGCAUACUGGCAAGCUCGAGGACGGUAGGGGAGAGCGGAACUCUUGGUGGAGCGGUGAAAUGCGUAGAUAUCAAGAGGAACACCGAUGGCGAAGGCAGCUCUCUGGUCCGUUUCUGACGCUGAGGUGCGAAAGCUAGGGUAGCGAAC
rnacentral:rRNA from 1 species